ACAUGCAAGUCGAACGGUAACAGGAAGCAGCUUGCUGCUUUGCUGACGAGUGGCGGACGGGUGAGUAAUGUCUGGGAAACUGCCUGAUGGAGGGGGAUAACUACUGGAAACGGUGGCUAAUACCGCAUAACGUCGCAAGACCAAAGAGGGGGACCUUCGGGCCUCUUGCCAUCAGAUGUGCCCAGAUGGGAUUAGCUUGUUGGUGAGGUAACGGCUCACCAAGGCGACGAUCCCUAGCUGGUCUGAGAGGAUGACCAGCCACACUGGAACUGAGACACGGUCCAGACUCCUACGGGAGGCAGCAGUGGGGAAUAUUGCACAAUGGGCGCAAGCCUGAUGCAGCCAUGCCGCGUGUAUGAAGAAGGCCUUCGGGUUGUAAAGUACUUUCAGCGGGGAGGAAGGUGUUGUGGUUAAUAACCGCAGCAAUUGACGUUACCCGCAGAAGAAGCACCGGCUAACUCCGUGCCAGCAGCCGCGGUAAUACGGAGGGUGCAAGCGUUAAUCGGAAUUACUGGGCGUAAAGCGCACGCAGGCGGUCUGUCAAGUCGGAUGUGAAAUCCCCGGGCUCAACCUGGGAACUGCAUUCGAAACUGGCAGGCUUGAGUCUUGUAGAGGGGGGUAGAAUUCCAGGUGUAGCGGUGAAAUGCGUAGAGAUCUGGAGGAAUACCGGUGGCGAAGGCGGCCCCCUGGACAAAGACUGACGCUCAGGUGCGAAAGCGUGGGGAGCAAACAGGAUUAGAUACCCUGGUAGUCCACGCCGUAAACGAUGUCUACUUGGAGGUUGUGCCCUUGAGGCGUGGCUUCCGGAGCUAACGCGUUAAGUAGACCGCCUGGGGAGUACGGCCGCAAGGUUAAAACUCAAAUGAAUUGACGGGGGCCCGCACAAGCGGUGGAGCAUGUGGUUUAAUUCGAUGCAACGCGAAGAACCUUACCUGGUCUUGACAUCCACAGAACUUUCCAGAGAUGGACUGGUGCCUUCGGGAACUGUGAGACAGGUGCUGCAUGGCUGUCGUCAGCUCGUGUUGUGAAAUGUUGGGUUAAGUCCCGCAACGAGCGCAACCCUUAUCCUUUGUUGCCAGCGGUCCGGCCGGGAACUCAAAGGAGACUGCCAGUGAUAAACUGGAGGAAGGUGGGGAUGACGUCAAGUCAUCAUGGCCCUUACGACCAGGGCUACACACGUGCUACAAUGGCGCAUACAAAGAGAAGCGACCUCGCGAGAGCAAGCGGACCUCAUAAAGUGCGUCGUAGUCCGGAUUGGAGUCUGCAACUCGACUCCAUGAAGUCGGAAUCGCUAGUAAUCGUGGAUCAGAAUGCCACGGUGAAUACGUUCCCGGGCCUUGUACACACCGCCCGUCACACCAUGGGAGUGGGUUGCAAAAGAAGUAGGUAGCUUAACCUUCGGGAGGGCGCUUACCACUUUGUGAUUCAUGACUGGGGUGAAGUCGUAACAAGGUAACCGUAGGGGAACCUGC
rnacentral:rRNA from 1 species